CUCGUUCCCACAGCAGAUCGAUCCCCUCGAUCCAGUAGACUCGCCCAACCAUCCUCUCCUUGAUACCCUCGCACGCGCUAGGGUUCCUGUGCCGCCGCCACACGUGAGCUUGUCGACCAGCCCAACGUCCUCCGGAUCGCCGCCACCCCUCUCCGGAUCGCCGCCGUCACCGCCCCGGAUCGCUGCCUUCGCCGUCAUCCGGAUCGCCGCCGUCGCCGUCGGAAUCGCCGCCAACGUCUCGUCGCCUCGGAUCGCCGCCGUCGCCGUCGGGAUGGCUGCAGCCGUCUCUCCAGAUCGCACGGGCGUUCAUCGUCUCCGGCCUCGCCGUUGUCGUUCCCGUAUCUGCCCUCACCCGAAACCUAAUGUGCACGCAAUCUUCGUGUCGCUUCUUCCUUGUGUUCCAUGUCGGCGGCUAGGCCCUCUGGUCCGGCUGUCCCUGGUUUUCUCUACCGCCAACGCCUCAAUUCUGCCCCUCCCCCACACAUCCCUCCCUCUCACGACCGUCACAGCCAUCAUCGCGGUGUCAGUCAACUCCUGCCCCGACCUCCAUCAUGUAUUUGUAGAAGAUGGUGACGCGUGAUGAGUGGCUCAAGGUCCGCAAGGAGGGGAUGAAAUUCCUCAUCACGUUGGACUUCAUCGACGCCGCGGACAGGGUCUCCAUCCGGUACCCAACGUGAACGGACAUUGGGUUCAGAUUUCAGACGGAGAACUUUAGGAGACUAUCGACAGGACCAACGAUCUUAACCCCACUGUUCGGUUCUGAUUCUGUUUCUCCUAAUUUUGGUUUGUAUUUCGGUGUUUUGUUAUAGAAAAAGUCGAUGGAGGAGGAGUAAUAUCUUACAAUUUUGGCUAACUUUGUUGUACGCCAACAUAAUUUUUCUUUGUAUCUGAAAAUUUCAGGGAGAACACAGAAGCAUUCGCGCCUCAUGAUUUCUGCAUCAUACUUAACGAACUUCAAAUUACUGAUCUUUGUAAUCAAUCUUUUUUUUUUAUAUAAUUCUGCAUAGGAGGCAUUGAGCAUGUGUGUGUGUGUGUCAUGCUUGGUCAUAUUGAUUUUCUUGAAAAAAAUUUGGCAGGUUCCAGUUACUGAUUUUUGCAUGAGUUGUGUUUUUAUUGGAUAAAAUGUCACAAGCAAGCCGAGUCCACAGGUGAAUUUCUUCAGGCACAUCAGUGCAAAAUAAUGAAGGGGAGCCUUGGCGCAGUGGUAAAGCUGCUGCCUUGUGACCAUGAGGUCAUGGGUUCAAGUCCUGGAAACAGCCUCUUACAGAAAUGUAGGGAAAGGCUGCGUACUAUAGACCCAAAGUGGUCGGACCCUUCCCUGGACCCUGCGCAAGCGGGAGCUACAUGCACCAGGUUGCCCUUUUUACAUCAGUGCAAAAUAAUAAUAUGACAAUUGAUAGUCUCUCCACUGUUUUCCACACAAGUUGGAAGAGAAAAUAAUGGCAUGUAAACACAUUUACUUUUUGCUGUUUGUAGGGCACCGUGAUACAUGUCCCUGUCAGGCCGUUUGUUUGUUUUGUUAGUCCUCCCAUGUCAUCCUCUUUUGUCAGGUCGUAUAGAUUCAACAACUUGAGGCUCGCCCAUGGUCAAUUGGACCAGAAGAGUUGGUUUCCUUAUUCUCUUCUAUUUCCAUCUGUUCCGAUCCGAUCCGAUGGCCGGUGGUGUGGUUGCAUUGCACGACCCCAUAAGUGGGGUUCAAAGAUCACCGUCACUGGCUGUGUGAGGCCACGAAUGUCAUCUUGGUCCCCUUACUACUAUAUUCCUGAUCCACGAUUGUCACCUUGGUCCCCUGUAUGAGUUAAUUACAUGAUGUUGUGUUCUCAAGUUUUACUCUGAAUUUGUUAGAUGCUGGAUGAAAUUCACAGCUAAGCAAUUUUUUCGUAUGUCUUACCAGUGGUGGAAGGAAGAUUGAACUGAUAAAUUUCUGCAACCACCUUGAGGUCCAUAACUUUCUCCUAAUUAUAUGCAGCCCAAUUCGUAAAGAUGUAUUUGUUUGCGGGAGAGGACUGCCUAUGAUCAGAAGCAAACAACAUGUGACCAUCAUAUGUGUGAGAGAUGGGAUUCUUUGUCUGCUAGAGAGGCUGGUGCCAAAUCAACAUAGGAGCAAGGGCAGGAUAAGGGGACUGAGGUGAAGUCUUUUCUUCUCCGUCUCUAUGGUAUGCUGAUACGUUCAAACCUGCAUUUUAACUAUUGAUACCUAUAAUUCAUUGAUUAGCAUUUUAACUACUGCAAUUGAUUUAUGAAAAAUUGUUAGGUUGUAGUAUCUAUCUAACAUCUGGAAGAGAAAAAAUGUGAUGAACAUUUUUUUCACAAGGUUAUGUAUAUCUAUCUUUAAAAUGUGGUACAGAGAGCAGAAGGUUUUAAAUGCUUGCAAAUCCACUUUUAUGAGCAGCACCUGGGUCCAAUGAACCAAAUAUGCAAGCACGCAUGACAAUGAUGUUUUUUCUUCUCCAUUAGUGAAUCUUCCUUUUCUAAGUCAUAUUUAGUUAGGAAGGCACCUAUCUAGAUUUUCUGAGAGGUUGCGAGUGAUCAGAACUGAACAUUUUUAUUAUGUCUACCAUGCCUUUCAUCUGCAUUGCUCUUCUACUUCUGUAUAGUUAUCGUUAAUUAUGUAAUACAUGUACAAGCCAUUUGGUCAGAUACAAUCCUUUUGUUAAUUUAUAAAUUCUGUUGAAAGAGAUCUAAUUAGUUGGCACAAUUCAUAAUGUUUUGCAGUAUAUUGAUUAUCCUUUCAUCAUUAAUUUUUUAUGCUGUCGUGUCCCUCUUUGGUGUUGAGGAACUCUGACAAUCGAUAAUAAUUUAUGGUGGAACGUCGAUGCUAUCGGAAUUUUUGAAAACUAAAUGCUUUCAGAUCAUAUUAUGUUGCUUGCCACUGGGAGUAAAAGAAUAAGCAAAGGCAUAUCUCAGUUCGUCAUGCUCUUGCUCUGUUUGUAUAGAUGUUUAUGUUAGAUAAAAUCUACGUUGUCGUAUCAUCAAUGUUAGAUAUCAUCUAUUGUUCUACAAUGUAUCCUUGCAAAAACAUGCAGACUCUUUGUGUUGGAUCUCUUAUUGUUGCCCAGUCUAAAUGUAUGACAUAUAACUAUGGCCCAUUUAUGCUUAUUGAAUUUGAGUUGACAUUUUAGAUUGACAAUUUACUUUACAAUAGAAACCAUUGCUCUGUUUGUAGGUUUCAGCCGGAUAUGUAAAAUUUCCCAUAUAGGAAUAGUGUAAUCUUCAAGUUUCCUCAUUACAGGCAUAAAAUAAUCCGCAUCAUGUUUACUCAAAAUCUCAAAUGUAUUUACAUAUGGGUGCAUGUUCUCUGCUUCUUACUAAAUAUGAUCCUGAUGUUUAAUGGAGAAAUAAAUAUUAAGUGCACACAUAAUGCAGUUUUGUGAGGGCAGGAAAGAAACAAAUCUUUAUAUUGGUUCGGGACUGACUGCCCAUUGGGCCAUCUUCUUAUUUUGUUUUAGGGUCCUUGCCUUUUAUGCAUGUUUUUCGCUGCAGGACAUGCUUCCUGUCUGUUUGUAAUUUCUCUUAGAUGAGAGAGAUAGUGGUGCAUGUCUAUCACUGCCAUCACUACUUCUUCCGGCUGCCGCUACCAUCGUCCCCUCCCCUGAGCUCUCUGGAUCUGGUGGGCUUUUGCAGUUAGCCGAGGCUCCGUUGGUUGUUGAAUUUUGCCGAUCUUCCAUGUUGUUUGUGGCUUGCCACCAGCCUGACAAGAAGCUGGUUAUUGCAUACAUCCUUUGCAAGUUAAAAUAUUGUGAAGGUCAAUUGGAGGUAUUUCAAUGGAACUUGAUUGUGCAGAUUUUCUUGAACUAAAGCUCGCUAAUAAAAUUGAACUUUCUAUGCGUGAAAUGGAUUCCGCCAAGAUAUAGCAAAAGUAGGCAAUGACAUGUUUUAUGUCACUCUUCAUUAGGGAUUGGCUAAACACAUAAUUAAGAUACUACUAGAAGUUCCAUCAAAAAGUUACUAAAUGUUUUUGUAACAUUUAUGCACAAAAAAGAGUUGCGGAACUGCCAUAAAUUGUAUGCUCUUUGCAAAAUGAUUGCACUAAAAAAGUCUGGAAUAACAUUCCUUUUUAUUUCUUAUAAAGCAAGUUGCGGAACUGCCAUAAAUUGUAUGCUCUUUGCACAAUGAUUGCACUAAAAAAGUCUGGAAUAACAUUCCUUUUUAUUUCUUAUAAAGCAAGUUGCAGAACUACCCUAAAUUGUAUGGUCCUUGCAAAAUGACUGCACUAAAAAAAAUCUGGAAUAAUAUUCCUUCUUAUUUUUUAUAAAGGAGGUCCCUGGAGUAGUGUUACAGAUGGGAAGAGGUAAUCAGUAAUCAAUAUCCUCCCCUUCAUUUUUAGGUGCUGCUUAUGUGAUAACUCAUGUGAGUGUUAUAAGUGUUUACUACAUUCAUUAUUCAGGCAAAUGAGCAAGAUAAUAGCAGCAAUCAACGGUCAGCUGAUCAUACAGAAUAUUCAGAAGCUAGCUCUCUUUUAUCUACUGCGAGAACACCCACUACACUUCUACAGGCUAAUAAGGACCGCGUGGAGCGCGACACCCGCGUAAAUAUCUCAGUUCUACUCUCAUCUUUGCAUUGGCUCUGGUGUACGGCUGCACACGGUUGCGGCCAAGCGUCUGUCGAUGAUUGCUGAGCACGACAAGGUGACCCAAGGGAGAUGGAGGAAGACCAGGUUAAGUCAGUGAACUGCUCUAUAUGGAAUUGCUACAAAAAAUCAUGUCAAUUUCCUCUACUGUGCCUCCACUCUAUAAGGAAAAAAACCCUGGUAUAUUCUCUAGCUUGUUGGAUUCAUAAUAGAACCCUAAAAAGAUUGGUUUGAUUUGUAACAUAUUAUCUACAAAAAAUGAUUUUGUGCACAUUAGCAUUUUCUAAAGUUAGCAUUACUUACAUGCCCUUUGUGUGCUCAAGAAAUAUAUGGAUAAUCUUUUGCUAGCCGAACGAAUAACAAUGGCCUGUUACUGUGUGAAGGAGUGGCCUCUUUCUGAAGAUAUUUAAUUCACCAUGCUUAUUCAGGUGCGAGUUCUGUUUUUGACUGAGAUAUUUUUCCACUUUCUCCAUGUUAAACAAUAACUUAGUGUUCAAUUAUUGUAUGUGUGUGUUAGACGAGUUGUUUUGUUCCAUGUUUAGGUUGAAGUAGUUGUUUGAGUGCAUUAGCCUUUUCAUUUUCUAUUGUGGCAGUUCAUCUUAUUUAAUCUUGAUGUCCUUAAAUUGCUCUAUUCACAUAUUUGCCAAGAUUUCGAGUUUGAUUUCUACCUGUGUAGCUAUGCUGGCAUUCAGGUUAGCUUUCUCUAUAUAAUUGUUGCAUUCCAUUUAUUUUAUUUUUAUUACUACACCUUGUGAUGGAAUGGUCUGAUUGCUGAUCCGGUGUUCUUGCAUUAGCGAUGAAGUAGAUGAGUGACAAGGAUGAACAUAACAAAGGGGUGCAAUGUGGUUAGCGAUGAAGGGCAAGGAAGAUGAAGACACUUUUUGUCAUUCGAUGUCUAUUUAUAUUUUUUGUUAUCUUAUUGUUAUUUUUGUUCCGUUGAAACAAAUGGGCGCUUAAAAAGGAAAUAAUUUCAACUAAAAUUUCCAAUUUUUGGCCACCUAUGUACAUUCGACAUCACUUACAUAUAUCGUCUGAUGUUUGUUUUAAUGCUUCAUGUCCUAUUGCUUAUCUUGCUCCAAGUUCAUGAUAUGCGGUGCUGCUCCUAUUACGGAAAGCAUACCAGAUAGAAAAUUUCCCUAUGCUUUCAAGAUAAUGUUCCUUUUAAGAUUGUAGAGCAAGAUGAAAUAUUUUGAAACGGCAACAGUGCUAGAGAAAGGUGGAUGAUGUGUAGGAAAACGAGGGGUGGAGAAAAACAUGUGACUUGUCUUCUCAAAAUUAGAGGAGGAUUGAAGAGAUAACCUGCCAAGGAUGAAAGUGCGGAUGAAGAGAGCAGAUGUAGAGGGGAAGGAAGGGUGGAGAAAAAUAUGCCACUUGUCUUCUUAAGUAGAAGAUGGUUUGAAGGGAUAUGACAACCGCCGAGGAGGAACUAAGCAUGAAAAAGAUUUAACUCACAUUUAUGAAAUAUAACAAAUGUUUGACAGUGUCUUCUUUAUUCUUUGGCAAUGCAUAGGUAGCGGCGGUUGGGCUAGAGUUACCGAGCGUCGAUGUCGUCGGCUACCUGGUGGCCUCUGACAGUGGAGAAUGGGCUCCCUUCAGCAUUACAAUCCACUACAAGAAGAUGGCCAAGUGAAACAGUAUCGACAGACCAUCACGGCAAGGAGGUUGAGUUGAGAAAAGUGUACUUCCAUCGAAGGAAUGCUUCUCCUUGGGGCUGAUUGCAUUGGCCAUGCUAAGCACCAGAGGAGAGGCAAAGUAACAAAGACAAACAAAAAAAGCAUUUUGUAUAUUUUUUAAUUGAUUAUAGAUUUUACCGUGUGCAUGUACUUCAUGUUGCUGAAUUGCAUUAGUAAAGUUCCUCCAUUGAUAAGUGGCCAAAUAGGUUCUCUAAACCUUCUGCUAGGCCUUCCUUGUGAAUGAUGGUGUAAACUGUUUCAAGUAGAUACACAUAUGUGGGUAAAAAGUAUCAUAU